rnacentral:lncRNA from 1 species
CAAAUAAACAGCAACUGAGUUUGGUUUACCGCGCUUCAUUCGCAUUUGCUUCACUAGUUUAAACUUUGUCGCGUCAUGAUUGUCUACUUUAGAAUUUUCGAAGCUUCCAACGGGCGUUUAUAACAGAAACAAACUAAAGACGAAAAGCGCAUUUCGCAUCACAAAAAGCGUUAAGAUUGAGCGCUGUUAGCCGCUGUGGUAUUGUGGCACAAUGCGCGCCUCCCUCCAUAUGGACGUUUGCAGUUGUAUGUUUGCCUAAAUAUAAGUUACAUUGAUCGAUUAUAUUUUCUUUACUCACAACUCUACGUGUUUACUUACGCUUAAGACAAAUAUUUGUAUGUCUGUAACUGUAUUUAUAAGAAGGGAAACGGAUUUAACUACAGAAAAUUCAAACCAUCGGCAAGGUGUAAUACGAUACGUUUGCAUUGCCAUUGCGCCUAUUAAGCUCUGUGACAGCCUGUCUGUUACACAGUUUAUAUGCACAAGUGUAGCCUUUCUAAAGUCUAACGCCAGUAAAGUAUGUUUUAUAAAAUGCUUUCAUGUUUCAUAUACUGCUAGAUAAACAAAAUUGCUGACCACGGUGCCAGUGUAAUUUAUUUGUUAAAUAAUCUAAAAGUCUAUAUAUUGUUUGCGCCAGUCACUUCCUUCAAUUUGAGCUUGCAAUCCGCCAAUCCACAAGAUAGAAGAUUAAAGAAAAUCAUAUAGAAAAUAACUAUUGUAAGAGCAAUUAGUAAUUAUUAGAGUACAUGCAUGCAUGGACAUAAGCUAUUCUCCUGAAAGCCUUUCAGCCCGUUCUUUGUUAAUUAAUAUAGAAACCCAAAUACAUGAAGAUGAAUUCAUUGCUUUAACAGAAAGAGAAGACGUUCAGGACGAACGUCUUAUACUUGUGGUAGGUCAUAAAAUGAAAUUUUUUGAAGGCUCUGGGGGGGGGGGGUUGUAAAACCAUUAGCCUGCGAGCAGGCUCUCAUCUUAGAGCCUGAUCGCAGGCUAAAUUCCAUAUUUAUUUUAAAUAAACUCCCAGCAAAAUAUACAAAAGGACUUGACGUGAGUAUUUUACAUGUAUUAUCAUUGUAUUUUAUUAUGUACUAUACCUUAGAAAGGCUGGGGUGAGGCAAACCAUUCGGUUUUGACAUUUUUCAUCACAUGAAUCAACAUUUUCAAAUUAAUUUAAUAAGGCAGUUCAGUAUUUUUAUGACUACAAACAAAUACUGUAAUCUAUAAUUUGUAAAUUUGUUGUCCUCUCUGCCGAAGAUGGCUGAUGUUCUCCAGUUUUGAAGUUUGAAAACAUAUAUGUCUAUACUUUUGCACUCUGGUGUUGCUGUGCAAGUGUGGCGACAAGCCGCCUUUCGCCGGCACCCCUCUUUGGUGGCUGAUUAACAAAUUGGCCGCCUGAUAUUGGGGACUUGUAUAUAGGUAUAUAUGUGCAUGACAUUAAAAAAUGAAAGCUUUUUGGAAAUUAUUAAUUAACCUGGCAAUUUGAAAGAAUUAUAUAUUCUCCAGUUUUGAACAACAUAUAUGUCUAUACUUUUGCACUCUGGUGUUGCUGUGCAAGUGUGGCGACAAGCCGCCUUUCGCCGGCACCCCUCUUUGGUGGCUGAUUAAAAUUGGCCGCCUGAUAUUGGGGACUUGUAUAUAGGCAUAUAUGUGCAUGACAUUAAAAAAAUGAAAGCUUUUUGGAAAUUAUUAAUUAACCUGGCAAUUUGAAAGAAUUAUAUAUUCUCCAGUUUUGAACAACAUAUAUGUCUAUACUUUUGCACUCUGGUGUUGCUGUGCAAGUGUGGCGACAAGCCGCCUUUCGCCGGCACCCCUCUUUGGUGGCUGAUUAACAAAUUGGCCGCCUGAUAUUGGGGACUUGUAUAUAGGUAUAUAUGUGCAUGACAUUAAAAAAAUGAAAGCUUUUUGGAAAUUAUUAAUUAACCUGGCAAUUUGAAAGAAUUAUAUAUUCUCCAGUUUUGAACAACAUAUAUGUCUAUACUUUUGCACUCUGGUGUUGCUGUGCAAGUGUGGCGACAAGCCGCCUUUCGCCGGCACCCCUCUUUGGUGGCUGAUUAACAAAUUGGCCGCCUGAUAUUGGGGACUUGUAUAUAGACAUAUGUGUGCAUGACAUUAAAAAAAUGAUAGAUUUUUGGAAAUGAUUAAUUAACCUGGCAAUUUGAAAAAAAUUAUAUAUUCUCCAGUUUUGAACAACAUAUAUGUCUAUACUAUUGCACUCUGGUGUUGCUGUGCAAGUGUGGCGACAAGCCGCCUUUUCCCCGGCACCCCUCUUUGGUGGCUGAUUAACAAAUUGGCCGCCUGAAAUUGGGGACUUGUAUAUAGACAUAUGUGUGCAUGACAUUAAAAAAAUGAGAGAUUUUUGGAAAUGAUUAAUUAACCUGGCAAUUUGAAAGAAUUAUAUAUUCUCCAGUUUUGAACAACAUAUAUGUCUAUACUUUUGCACUCUGGUGUUGCUGUGCAAGUGUGGCGACAAGCCGCCUUUCGCCAGCACCCCUCUUUGGUGGCUGAUUAAAAUUGGCCGCCUGAUAUUGGGAACUUGUAUAUAGGUAUAUAUGUGCAUGACAUUAAAAAAAUGAAAGCUUUUUGGAAAUUAUUAAUUAACCUGGCAAUUUGAAAGAAUUAUAUAUUCUCCAGUUUUGAACAACAUAUAUGUCUAUACUUUUGCACUCUGGUGUUGCUGUGCAAGUGUGGCGACAAGCCGCCUUUCGCCGGCACCCCUCUUUGGUGGCUGAUUAACAAAUUGGCCGCCUGAUAUUGGGGACUUGUAUAUAGGUAUAUAUGUGCAUGACAUUAAAAAAAUGAAAGCUUUUUGGAAAUUAUUAAUUAACCUGGCAAUUUGAAAGAAUUAUAUAUUCUCCAGUUUUGAACAACAUAUAUGUCUAUACUUUUGCACUCUGGUGUUGCUGUGCAAGUGUGGCGACAAGCCGCCUUUCGCCGGCACCCCUCUUUGGUGGCUGAUUAAAAUUGGCCGCCUGAUAUUGGGGACUUGUAUAUAGGCAUAUAUGUGCAUGACAUUAAAAAAAUGAAAGCUUUUUGGAAAUUAUUAAUUAACCUGGCAAUUUGAAAGAAUUAUAUAUUCUCCAGUUUUGAACAACAUAUAUGUCUAUACUUUUGCACUCUGGUGUUGCUGUGCAAGUGUGGCGACAAGCCGCCUUUCGCCGGCACCCCUCUUUGGUGGCUGAUUAACAAAUUGGCCGCCUGAUAUUGGGGACUUGUAUAUAGGUAUAUAUGUGCAUGACAUUAAAAAAAUGAAAGCUUUUUGGAAAUUAUUAAUUAACCUGGCAAUUUGAAAGAAUUAUAUAUUCUCCAGUUUUGAACAACAUAUAUGUCUAUACUUUUGCACUCUGGUGUUGCUGUGCAAGUGUGGCGACAAGCCGCCUUUCGCCGGCACCCUCUUUGGUGGCUGAUUAACAAAUUGGCCGCCUGAUAUUGGGGACUUGUAUAUAGGUAUAUAUGUGCAUGACAUUAAAAAAAUGAAAGCUUUUUGGAAAUUAUUAAUUAACCUGGCAAUUUGAAAGAAUGAUAUAUUCUCCAGUUUUGAACAACAUAUAUGUCUAUACUUUUGCACUCUGGUGUUGCUGUGCAAGUGUGGUGACAAAGCCACCUUUCGCCGGCACCACUCUUUGGUGGCUGAUUAACAAAUUGGCCGCCUGACAUUGGGGACUUGUAUAUAGGUAUAUAUGUGCAUGACAUUAAAAAAAUGAAAGCUUUUUGGAAAUUAUUAAUUAACCUGGCAAUUUGAAAGAAUUAUAUAUUCUCCAGUUUUGAACAACGCUAUUGUCUAUACUUUUGCACUCUGUUGUUGCUGUGCAAGUGUGGUGACAAAGCCACCUUUCGCCGGCACCACUCUUUGGUGGCUGAUUUGCAUGGUGGCUGACUACAGUUAUUGACAUAUAUCGAUAUAUGAAUAAUAUAAAAAUAUUUAAGUGUUUAGAAAUUAUUAGGUAUAAAAACUCAUAUGAAACAUUAACCUAGAAAUUUGAAAGAAUAUUAUUCAGUCUAAAUCAGUGUGUAUUAAUUUUAUUUAUUAUUUUAUAUCAUACUACUGUAUAUUGUUUAUUGUAUAUUAUACUACAGGGUGUAUCAAAAUAAACGCAAUUCAUCUUUUGUGCUUAAUAACUUUCGAAAUACUAUUUCUAGUUAAACGCUUUUAGGCUUACUUCAAAGCCUGUUCUUUUCUCUUUCAAACAAACUAUUAUCCUUGUCUCCAAUGCUAGUAAUAAUUGCACAGGAAAAGAUUUAGUAAAACCUAUCAUUUUUAGUUGCUGUUUAAUUAUGCAAGUUUACUAUGUUAUUGUUUAGUCGGUUUAAAUGUUAGAAUUUUCUUCUUUAAACUUUAAUGUUGUCGUCACUACAUCUGGAAAACCACGUAAGAACAAAUUAAAAGUAUUUUAAAAGAGACCAGGUUGUUUGAAAAUCCUAAACGAAUGCUAAAAAUCGUCAAAACAUUUUGGUGUCUGAGCCAGAGUGUCAUCGAACUGCGAUGUAAUGUAAACAGAAAUUAUAGCAAGUUGAUGUCAGUCAGCUUAGAUGGUCCAAGCCAAACUGAUUAUAUCGCAUUUUAAGUUUCAAACUGAGUUAAAAAUAGUGGAAGAAAAGCCGUAAUUAUACUUAUUGUACAACCAUUUAAUAAAAUGCAACAUUUUUUUGUUUUAAUGAAAAAAUCAGUUAUUUUCAUGAGAACGAUUUGUUAUUCCAUCUCAAUUUUUUUAAUCACCAAUCGCAAUAACGUAAAGUAUUAUUACCCGCGAACCAAUGAGUCAAAUUUAAGAAACAACCCACUGUUCGAAAGCUGAAUGGCUACGCUUUAAAAUGAAUGUAAACUUUAACGUUUUCGUCUAUUAUUUGUUUAGCAAUUUACAUUUCAGUCGAGGAUUGCGCUUUUUUUGAUACACCCUGUAUAUGUGGUUUUGGCAUUUCCUUACUCAAAUAAUAACCAUGUAUAAGUGUUAUGUUAGAGCACACCCAAACCGGUGGCUGAAUUAAGGGAUAUAAUAAAUGUAGUUCACUCUGCAACAUUAAUUUCUAAUUAUAUGUUCCUUCUAUUUAUCUAGGAAAGUUAAGAUGUAGACAGCUUCGUGUCAAGCAAAGACCCAAAAGAAUUGCCAUUUCUUGUAAUGGUUGUCUGGCGACCGUUGAAUGCAAUUUCUCAAAUCUUUAUUGUCGCUGACUUGCUGGUACUUUUUCGAGUUAGGGUUGUAAUUGUGGAACUGAUGGCAUGAACUCACAUUCUCUUUUCGAGAGGAGGUUAAUUAAUGAAAUUAGGAAUGCCGACAUAUACUAAGUAAUAUGAACUGAAUAAAAUCUGAACUCAGUAGGAGAGGGCAAUUGCUCUUGUAUUGUAUAUACAGUAGGUAUCGUUUAUAACUCAUUGCAGUAUUUGCAUCAGUUUGGUUCGAAUGUUGCAUCUUUACUCUGAACGGAGUGCGUACAACCAUGCAUGCAUGUAUUGUGGGUCAAAAUCACUUUGUUUGUUACUACUGUGUAUGCUAAUUUUAAUUUGUUCUAUAUAUUGGUAGAAUACAUUAUUUUCACUGACACAGUUGUGUUGAGAUGACUAUAUAGUAUCUGACUUUAUAUUAUUUCUUUCAGUCAUGGCCUUACUCGGAACAAUGAGUAAAAAGGUACUCAGCUCGCUGAGAAAAAGGAGAAUGUUUAAAGAUUUGAGUAGUUUUGUACUCGUUGUUUUGAGUAAGGCACUUCUUUUACUCACUGUGAGUAAAUAUCGCACUUUACUCACGUUUUAGGUGUCACUGGGAAUGGAUUUUGGUUUACUCAGAAACUUGAGUAAAAUUUUACUCAUUGUUUUGCGUAAAACCUGCAGUUUACUCACUGUGAGUAAAAAUCGCAUUUUACUCACGUUUUAGAUGUCACUGUGAAUGCAUUUUGU